UACAGAGGGUGCAAGCGUUAAUCGGAAUUACUGGGCGUAAAGGGUGCGUAGGUGGUUGAGUAAGUUGGAUGUGAAAUGCCUGGGCUUAACCUGGGACCGGCAUCCAAAACUGCUGGGCUAGAGUAAGGUAGAGGGAAGUGGAAUUUCCGGUGUAGCGGUGAAAUGCGUAGAUAUCGGAAGGAACACCAGUGGCGAAGGCGGCUUCCUGGACUAUUACUGACACUGAGGCACGAAAGCGUGGGGAGCAAACAGG
rnacentral:rRNA from 1 species